UAAGUUAAUAAGGGCGCACGGUGGAUGCCUUGGCACUAGGAGCCGACGAAGGACGUGACAAACGACGAUAUGCCUUGGGUAGCUGUAAGUAAGCGAUGAUCCAGGGAUUUCCGAAUGGGGGAACCCAACAGGUAAUACCUGUUACCUACAUCUGUUAAGGAUGUGAGGAGGAAGACGCAGUGAACUGAAACAUCUAAGUAGCUGCAGGAAGAGAAAGCAAAAGCGAUUGCCUUAGUAGCGGCGAGCGAAACGGCAGAAGGGCAAACCGAAGAGUUUACUCUUCGGGGUUGUAGGACUGCAAUGUGGACUCAAAGAUUAUAGAAGAAUGAUUUGGGAAGAUCAGCCAAAGAGAGUAAUAGCCUCGUAUUUAAAAUAGUCUUUGUACUUAGCAGUAUCCUGAGUACGGCGGGACACGUGAAAUCCCGUCGGAAUCUGGGAGGAACCAUCUCCCAAACCCUAAAUACUCCCUAGUGACCGAUAGUGAACCAGUACCGUGAGGGAAAGGUGAAAAGCACCCCGGGAGGGGAGUGAAAUAGAACCUGAAACCGUGUGCCUACAACAAGUUCGAGCCCGUUAAUGGGUGAGAGCGUGCCCUUUGUAGAAUGAACCGGCGAGUUACGUUAUGAUGCGAGGUUAAGUUGAAGAGACGGAGCCGUAGGGAAACCGAGUCUGAAUAGGGCGCCUUAGUAUCAUGACGUAGACCCGAAACCAUGUGACCUACCCAUGAGCAGGUUGAAGGUGCGGUAAGACGCACUGGAGGACCGAACCAGGGCACGUUGAAAAGUGCUUGGAUGACUUGUGGGUAGCGGAGAAAUUCCAAACGAACUUGGAGAUAGCUGGUUCUCUCCGAAUAGCUUUAGGGCUAGCGUCGACAUUAGAGAUUCUUGGAGGUAGAGCACUGUUUGGGUGAGGGGUCCAUCCCGGAUUACCAAUCUCAGAUAAACUCCGAAUGCCAAUGAAUUAUGGUCGGCAGUCAGACUGCGAGUGCUAAGAUCCGUAGUCGAAAGGGAAACAGCCCAGACCACCAGCUAAGGUCCCAAAAUAAUUGUUAAGUGGAAAAGGAUGUGGGGUUGCACAGACAACUAGGAUGUUAGCUUAGAAGCAGCUAUUCAUUCAAAGAGUGCGUAAUAGCUCACUAGUCGAGUGUACCCUGACGCCGAAAAUGUACCGGGGCUUAAAACAAUUUUACCGAAGCUGUGGAUACCUUUAUAGGUAUGGUAGGAGAGCGUUCUAUGUGUGAUGAAGGUAUACCGUGAGGAGUGCUGGAACGCAUAGAAGUGAGAAUGCCGGUAUGAGUAGCGAAAGACAGGUGAGAAUCCUGUCCACCGUAAGACUAAGGUUUCCAGGGGAAGGCUCGUCCGCCCUGGGUUAGUCGGGACCUAAGGAGAGACCGAAAGGUGUAUCCGAUGGACAACAGGUUGAUAUUCCUGUACUAGAGUAUGUAGUGAUGGAGGGACGCAGUAGGCUAACUAAAGCAGACGAUUGGAAGAGUCUGUCUAAGCAGUGAGGUGUGAAUUGAGUCAAAUGCUUAAUUCUAUAACAUUGAGCUGUGAUGGGGAGCGAAGUUUAGUAGCGAAGUUAGUGACGUCACACUGCCAAGAAAAGCUUCUAGCGUUUAAACAUACUCUACCCGUACCGCAAACCGACACAGGUAGUCGAGGCGAGUAGCCUCAGGUGAGCGAGAGAACUCUCGUUAAGGAACUCGGCAAAAUGACCCCGUAACUUCGGGAGAAGGGGUGCUGACUUAAAGUCAGCCGCAGUGAAUAGGCCCAAGCAACUGUUUAUCAAAAACACAGCUCUCUGCUAAAUCGUAAGAUGAUGUAUAGGGGGUGACGCCUGCCCGGUGCUGGAAGGUUAAGAGGAGUGCUUAGCGUAAGCGAAGGUAUGAAUUGAAGCCCCAGUAAACGGCGGCCGUAACUAUAACGGUCCUAAGGUAGCGAAAUUCCUUGUCGGGUAAGUUCCGACCCGCACGAAAGGCGUAAUGAUUUGGGCACUGUCUCAACGAGAGACUCGGUGAAAUUUUAGUACCUGUGAAGAUGCAGGUUACCCGCGACAGGACGGAAAGACCCCAUGGAGCUUUACUGCAGUUUGAUAUUGAGUGUCUGUACCACAUGUACAGGAUAGGUAGGAGUCUAAGAGAUCGGGACGCCAGUUUCGAAGGAGACGCUGUUGGGAUACUACCCUUGUGUUAUGGCCACUCUAACCCAGAUAGGUGAUCCCUAUCGGAGACAGUGUCUGACGGGCAGUUUGACUGGGGCGGUCGCCUCCUAAAAGGUAACGGAGGCGCCCAAAGGUUCCCUCAGAAUGGUUGGAAAUCAUUCGCAGAGUGUAAAGGUAUAAGGGAGCUUGACUGCGAGAGCUACAACUCGAGCAGGGACGAAAGUCGGGCUUAGUGAUCCGGUGGUUCCGUAUGGAAGGGCCAUCGCUCAACGGAUAAAAGCUACCCUGGGGAUAACAGGCUUAUCUCCCCCAAGAGUUCACAUCGACGGGGAGGUUUGGCACCUCGAUGUCGGCUCGUCGCAUCCUGGGGCUGUAGUCGGUCCCAAGGGUUGGGCUGUUCGCCCAUUAAAGCGGCACGCGAGCUGGGUUCAGAACGUCGUGAGACAGUUCGGUCCCUAUCCGUCGCGGGCGUAGGAAAUUUGAGAGGAUCUGCUCCUAGUACGAGAGGACCAGAGUGGACUUACCGCUGGUGUACCAGUUGUCUUGCCAAAGGCAUCGCUGGGUAGCUAUGUAGGGAAGGGAUAAACGCUGAAAGCAUCUAAGUGUGAAACCCACCUCAAGAUGAGAUUUCCCAUGAUUAUAUAUCAGUAAGAGCCCUGAGAGAUGAUCAGGUAGAUAGGUUAGAAGUGGAAGUGUGGCGACACAUGUAGCGGACUAAUACUAAUAGCUCGAGGACUUAUCCA
rnacentral:rRNA from 1 species